rnacentral:rRNA from 1 species
AGGGGAAACGACAUCGAAAGCUUGCUUUUGAUGGGCGUCGACCGGCGCACGGGUGAGUAACGCGUAUCCAACCUGCCCACCACUUGGGGAUAACCUUGCGAAAGUAAGACUAAUACCCAAUGACAUCCCACGAAGGCAUCCGAAUGGGAUUAAAGAUUUAUCGGUGAUGGAUGGGGAUGCGUCUGAUUAGCUUGUUGGCGGGGUAACGGCCCACCAAGGCAACGAUCAGUAGGGGUUCUGAGAGGAAGGCCCCCACAAUGGGACUGAGACACGGCCCAUACUCC